rnacentral:rRNA from 1 species
UACGUAGGGUGCGAGCGUUGUCCGGAAUUAUUGGGCGUAAAGAGCUCGUAGGCGGUGUGUCGCGUCGGCCGUGAAAACCUGCAGCUUAACUGUGGGCGUGCGGUCGAUACGGGCAUCACUGGAGUUCGGCAGGGGAGACUGGAAUUCCUGGUGUAGCGGUGAAAUGCGCAGAUAUCAGGAAGAACACCCGUGGCUAAGGCGGCUCUCUAGUACGGUACUGACGCUGAGACGCGAAAGCGUGGGGAGCGAACAGG